AUUGAACGCUGGCGGCAGGCCUAACACAUGCAAGUCGAACGAGUGGCGGACGGGUGAGUAAUGUCUCGGAAACUGCCUGAUGGAGGGGGAUAACUACUGGACACGGUAGCUACUACACCAUACUAUCAGAUAUGCCCAGAUGGGAUUAGCUUGUUGGUGGGGUAACGUCUCACCAAGGCGACGAGACCUAUCUGGUCUGAGAGGAUGACCAGCCACACUGGAACUGAGACACGGUCCAGACUCCUACGGGAGGCAGCAGUGGGGAAUAUUGCACAAUGGGGGCAAGCCUGAUGCAGCCAUGCCGCGUGUAUGAAGAAGGCCUUCGGGUUGUAAAGUACUUUCAGCGGGGAGGCGUUACCCGCAGAAGAAGCACCGGCUAACUCCGUGCCAGCAGCCGCGGUAAUAC
rnacentral:rRNA from 1 species